rnacentral:misc_RNA from 1 species
AACGCACAUUGCGCUCUCUGGUAUUCCGGAGAGCAUGCUUGUUUGAGUAUCAGUAAACACCUCAACUCCUUUAUUGUAGUUGGACUUGAGCUAUCCCAACAGGACUUUUGUUCCUGGCGGGAGGCUUGAAAUGCAGGUGCAGCUGGACUUUCUUCUGAGCUAUAAGCAUAUUUAUUUAAUCCCUUAACACGGAUUAUUACUUUUUUGCUGCAGCUAACAUAAAGGUUGAAUUUCCAUUGAGCUGACUGAUGCAGGAAUUUGGCAAGGAAUUUUUUUAAUGACUUGUUAAACUCGAUCUCAAAUCAAGUAAGACUACCCGCUGAACUUAA